UCUGAACCUUUCUAUAAGGACACGUGUAUGCACAUUAUGUUAGUAAACGUGUACUGCAUUCGCUAUAUAGAAAUUUCACAGCCGAUUCCCAGUCAUUACAUUCUAUUAAUUUCUUCUACUCCUCUCAAUUCUUCGCACUCUCAAGGUGAGGUCUCAGUCUUGGUAUGCUUUUUCUAAGGAUGACAAGAAUGGUUUGCUUAAUGACGGAUGGAGAAGCAUGGAAAAAGAAGGAUGAUAAUAACAGAUCAAAAGGCUACAAUUUAAGGAGGGAGUCUUUAAAGAGCAUCAGGGACAUAUAGAAGUGAUCAUAUAUUCUGCUGAUACUGAAUGGAGUAGCCAAUUUACAAGCAACUAUUUCGCAAGAUUGAUGACAUAUCCUCGUGCAUCAAAGGAUUUCAAGAACUCUUGGCUUUUAAUUCUUUAGUUUUGUUAUGUUUUUGCAGUAAACGAAAAAAAUAAUUCUACUACAGAAUACUGUGCUCUCUAGUCUCUGCUAAAGCUGCAGGAAAGCUAGAUGAUGUUUCCACCACUAAUAUAAUUAGUACUCAACUAGAUUUUGUACUUGUUCCUCUAGUAAGGUAGAUUUAUUAUUCUUCUAAUAGAACUGUGACAUGAAAUUUCCUUCAAAGUUAA